GAUGAACGCUAGCGGCAGGCUUAACACAUGCAAGUCGAGGGGUAACAGGGAGAAGCUUGCUUUUCCGCUGACGACCGGCGCACGGGUGCGUAACGCGUAUAGAACCUACCUUUUACAGAGGAAUAGCCCAGAGAAAUUUGGAUUAAUGCCUCAUAGUAUUAUAGAAUGGCAUCAUUUUAUAAUUAAACAUUUAUGGGUAAAAGAUGGCUAUGCGUUCUAUUAGCUAGUUGGUAAGGUAACGGCUUACCAAGGCUACGAUAGAUAGGGGUCCUGAGAGGGAGAUCCCCCACACUGGUACUGAGACACGGACCAGACUCCUACGGGAGGCAGCAGUGAGGAAUAUUGGACAAUGGAGGCAACUCUGAUCCAGCCAUGCCGCGUGCAGGAAGACGGCCCUAUGGGUUGUAAACUGCUUUUAUAUAGGAAGAAACCUUUCCACGUGUGGAAAGCUGACGGUACUAUAAGAAUAAGCACCGGCUAACUCCGUGCCAGCAGCCGCGGUAAUACGGAGGGUGCAAGCGUUAUCCGGAAUCAUUGGGUUUAAAGGGUCCGUAGGCGGACUAAUAAGUCAGGGGUGAAAUCCAACAGCUUAACUGUUGAACUGCCUUUGAUACUGUUAGUCUUGAAUUAUAUGGAAGUAGAUAGAAUGUGUAGUGUAGCGGUGAAAUGCUUAGAGAUUACACAGAAUACCGAUUGCGAAGGCAGUCUACUACGUAUAUAUUGA
rnacentral:rRNA from 1 species